rnacentral:rRNA from 1 species
UACGAGGGGGGCAAGCGUUGUUCGGAAUUAUUGGGCGUAAAGGGAGUGUAGGCGGUUUGGUAAGUCUCGUGUGAAAUCUUCAGGCUCAACCUGAAGUCUGCACGAGAAACUGCCGGGCUUGAGUAUGGGAGAGGUGAGUGGAAUUCCUGGUGUAGCGGUGAAAUGCGUAGAUAUCAGGAGGAACACCUGUGGCGAAAGCGGCUCACUGGACCAUAACUGACGCUGAGACUCGAAAGCUAGGGGAGCAAACAGG